UGCGGGGUAUAGCGCAGCCCGGUAGCGCACCAUCUUGGGGUGAUGGGGGUCGCAGGUUCAAAUCCUGCUAUUCCGA
rnacentral:tRNA from 1 species